GCUCCGGUCCACGAUCUCGAACUCCUCGCCCGGGUCCGGCUCCGCAGAGAAGCCGUCCUCUCUUUCGGCCAUGUUGGCCGCGUCACGUGUCUGACGGGCGGGCGGCGCGUGCGCGCGCUUGAGCCUGGGGCGGUUUUACUCUUCGCUAGGAUUUCUCUUCUGCUCCUCUUGCUUUUCUUUCUUUAAAUAAUACCGGGAAGGGCUGAUGUUUUGCUUGCUGCAGUUUUUCUCUCUGGAUAUAUGGAAGCACUUUCUUCUGACACUGAUGGAACUUCCUCCCUGGAUCUGUAAGCUGGAAACAAACCCUUCCUUCCCUAAACUGUGCCUGAUUUGGAUGUUCAUCCAAGCAAUGUGGAGCUAAUCACAACACCAACAUUAUAUAAAUACAAGAUGGGAAUAAAAACUAAAAGCAUAAAAAUUUAAAUUGAGGCAGUUUGAAAACAUUACUACAGAGUCUCACUAUAGCCUAAGCUGAAUUCACCAUGGAGUUUCAGAGUGGCCUUGAACUCAUGCAAUCCUCCUGGGAUUAAAGCUUCCACAAAACAACACCUAUCUAGUCAAUAAAUAUUUGUUGACAAGAUGAACAGAACAGAAUAAUGCCCCCAAAGAAAGUUUUCUAGAGGGAAGAAGAGACAAAAUAUGUAGAUUUCAUGGAUUACUAGCAAGAGGAUCCCAACCUUAGAUGGUUUUGUGCAGUAACUGACGAUGUUUUAUGCUUACAGGAGGAGGAUGGUUACAAGGCCCCAAGAUAGACUUUAAUCCCAGCAGCCUGCGCAGGGCAUGGAAGAGACUCUAACUUUUAAUUCUUAGACUUGCUGCUGUGGCUUGCUAAGACCAAGACAUACUAUUGUCCCUACCAUAAGAACUGAUUCCAAUGGGCCUGUCAAUCACCUAGACAUAGUUUUAAGAAGCAAGGUAUCCUGAAGACAUGAUGAGAAGAUGACUGGAAUACUGGCUAUUGUAGUCAGGUUCAUGUUGCUGGCAGGAAACACCUGACCAAGAACAGCUUA